rnacentral:rRNA from 1 species
UACGGGGGGUGCGAGCGUUGUCCGGAAUCACUGGGCGUAAAGGGCGCGUAGGUGGUUUGAUAAGGGUGUGGUGAAAGUCCGGAGCUCAACUCCGGAUCUGCCGUGCCGACUGUCAAACUCGAGGGCUGUAGAGGCAGACGGAAUUCCGGGUGUAGCGGUGGAAUGCGUAGAGAUCGGGAAGAACACCAGUGGCGAAGGCGGUCUGCUGGGCCGUUGCUGACGCUGAGGCGCGACAGCGUGGGGAGCAAAUAGG